GAUGAACGCUGGCGGCGUGCUUAACACAUGCAAGUCGAACGGAAAGGCCCUGCUUUUGUCGGGUGCUCGAGUGGCGAACGGGUGAGUAACACGUGAGUAACCUGCCCUUGACUUUGGGACAUCUUCAGGAAACUGGGGCUAAUACAGGAUAGGUGCUCCUGCUGCAUGGUGGGGGUCGGAAAGUUUCGGCGGGUGGGGAUGGAUUUCCGGUUAAUCAGCUGGUGGGGGGGGGACUGGCUAACCCAGGCUUCGACGGGUAGCCGGCCUGGGAGGGUGCCCUGCCACAAUAGGACUGAGGUACGGCCCAGACUGGAACGGGAGGCAGCAGGGGGAAGUAUUACACAAUGAGCGGGAGCGUGAGACAGCGGCGCCGCGUGCGGGAUGACGGCCAUCUGGUUGGAAACCGCUUUCGCCUGUUACGAAGCGUGAGUGACGGUAAUGGGUAAAGAAGCACCGGCUAACUACGUG
rnacentral:rRNA from 1 species